rnacentral:rRNA from 1 species
AUGCACGCUGGCGGCGUGCCUAAUCCAUGCCAGUCGAGCGAACAGAUAAGGAGCUUGCUCCUUUGACGUUAGCGGCGGACGGGUGAGUAACACGUGGGUAACCUACCUAUAAGACUGGGAUAACUUCGGGAAACCGGAGCUAAUACCGGAUAACAUUUGGAACCGCAUGGUUCUAAAGUGAAAGAUGGUUUUGCUAUCACUUAUAGAUGGACCCGCGCCGUAUUAGCUAGUUGGUAAGGUAACGGCUUACCAAGGCGACGAUACGUAGCCGACCUGAGAGGGUGAUCGGCCACACUGGAACUGAGACACGGUCCAGACUCCUACGGGAGGCAGCAGUAGGGAAUCUUCCGCAAUGGGCGAAAGCCUGACGGAGCAACGCCGCGUGAGUGAUGAAGGGUUUCGGCUCGUAAAACUCUGUUAUUAGGGAAGAACAAAUGUGUAAGUAACUGUGCACGUCUUGACGGUACCUAAUCAGAAAGCCACGGCUAACUACGUG